rnacentral:tRNA from 2 species
CAGGAAAUAGUUUAAUUAAAAUAUUAAUUUUGGGGAUUAAAGAUAGGGUUUGGAACUUUUUUCCUGA